AUGUUUUCUAAACUAGCACAUUUGUGGAGCUUUGCUGUACUUAGUCGUGGAGUUCAUACUUCACUGGCUUCUACAUCUCUUGGAACUAAAAAUACCGUCCAAGGCCCUCCAACCUCUGAUUACAUUUUUGAAAGGGAAUCUAAGCAUGGUGCGCACAAUUACCAUCCUUUACCUGUAGCCCUGGAGAGAGGAAAAGGUAUUUACUUAUGGGAUGUGAUUGUGGUGUUGGUUAAAUCCUCCUUGGCCAAUCCUCCCGCCUCGGUCUCUGGACUACAGCCAUGCACCACCCAGCCCCCACUAAUAUUUUUAUUUUUGUUUUAUUAGUAGAAACAGUUUUGCUGUGUUGACCAGGUUUGUCUCGACCUCCUGUGCUCAGGCGAUCCUCCCACCUCGGCCUUGGGAAUACAGGCAUGCACCGCCCUGCCCAGGCUCUUUUUUUUUUUUUUUUUUUUUUUUUUUUUUUAGUAAAAACCAGGUUUCGCUAUGUUGGCCAGGCUGGCCUUAACCUCCUAGGCUCAAGCAAUCCUCCCGCCUCGGCCUCGGGACUACAGGCUCACACCAACCCGCCCCCACUAAAAUUUUAAUUUUUCUAGUAAAGACAGUUUCGCUAUGUUGUCUAGGCUGGUCUCGACCUCCUGGGCUCAAGUCAUCCUCCUGCCUCAGCCUCGGGACUAUAGGCCUGCACCACCCUGCCUUUUGCUAUGUUUCCCAGGCUGGUCUCUACCUCCUGGGCUCACUCAAUGAUUUGAACCCGGGAAGCAGAGGUUGCAUUGAGCUGAGAUUACACCACUGCACUCCAGCCUGGGCAACAGAGUAAGACUGCCUGGAAAGAAAAAAAGAGAAAGGAAAGAAAGAAGAGAAAAGAGAAAGAAAGAAAGAAACAAAGAAAGAAAGAGAGAGAAGAAGGAAAGAAAGAGAGAGGAGAAGGAAAGAAAGAAAGAAAAGAGAAAGAGAGAGAAAGGAAGGAAGGAAGGAAAGAAAAAGAAAGCAAGUCAGCAAGAAAGAAAGAAAGAAAGAGAGAAAAACCAGCUGAAUCUCUGUAAGAACAGUAAGCUUUGCGGAAUUUUAACUUAGCCUCAUCCCAUCUCAUGCUCCCAGCCUGGUUCUGUUUAUUGCCACUGAAAUACAGAUAAGAUUGGCCAGAACUAGUAGAUGGCUGGCUGUUGAUCAUGAAAAUGUCAGACCUGAUAUAGUCCUCCUUGGAAAGGCCCUUUCUGGGGGCUGAUACUCUGUCUGCGAUGCUGUGGGAUGAUGACGUAAUGCUGACCAUUAAGCCAGGGGAACGUGGGUCCACAUACGGUGGCAAUCCACUAGGCUGCUGAGUGACCAUCGCAGCCCUUGAGGUUUUAGAAGAAGAAAACCUUGCUGAAAAUGCAGAAAAAAAUGGGUAUUCUCUUGAGAAAUGAACGCAUGAAGCUACCUUCCGAUGUUGUGACUACCAUAAGAGGAAAAGAAUUAAAAGGAAUUAUUAAACGCUAUUGUUAUUAAAGGAACCAAAGAUUGUGAUGCUUGGAAGGUGUGUGUAAGACUUCAAGAUAAUGGACAUAAUGAACUUCUGGCCAAGCCAACGCAUGGUGACAUCAUCAGGUUUGCGCCUCCACUGGUGAUCAAGGAGGAUGAGAUUCGAGAGUCCAUUGAAAUCAUUAACAAGACCAUCUUGUCUUUCUGA
rnacentral:lncRNA from 1 species